UACGUAGGGUGCGAGCGUUGUCCGGAAUUAUUGGGCGUAAAGAGCUCGUAGGCGGUGUGUCACGUCGUUCGUGAAAACCUGCAGCUUAACUGUGGGCGUGCGGUCGAUACGGGCAUCACUGGAGUUCGGCAGGGAGACUGGAAUUCCUGGUGUAGCGGUGAAAUGCGCAGAUAUCAGGAAGAACACCCGUGGCGAAGGCGGUUCUCUGGGACGGUACUGACGCUGGAGACGCGAAAGCCGUGGGGAGCGAACAGG
rnacentral:rRNA from 1 species